GGCUGGUCAGAGGGUAAUGGGUUAUCAGAACUUAUUAACAUUAGUGUCACUAAAGUUGUUAUAUAACCCCCCUCUGCUAAAUGUGACAGGCUUUGA
rnacentral:Y_RNA from 1 species